rnacentral:rRNA from 1 species
AAUCAACGCUGGCGGCGUGCCUCAGACAUGCAAGUCGAACGCGAAAGGCUCCUUCGGGGGCCGAGUAGAGUGGCGCACGGGUGAGUAACACGUAGGGUAAUCUGCCUUUGGGUGGGGAAUAACUCAGGGAAACUUGAGCUAAUACCGCAUAAUGCAGCGGCUCGACAUCGAGACAGUUAGUUAAAGGCGGGGGAUCGCAAGACCUCGCGCCUGAAGAGAAGCCUGCGGCAGAUUAGCUAGUUGGUAGGGUAAUGGCCUACCAAGGCGACGAUCUGUAACCGGCCUGAGAGGGCGGUCGGUCACACU